AUUGAACGCUGGCGGCAGGCUUAACACAUGCAAGUCGAGCGGGGUGAUGGUGCUUGCACUAUCACUUAGCGGCGGACGGGUGAGUAAUGCUUAGGAAUCUGCCUAUUAGUGGGGGACAACAUCUCGAAAGGGAUGCUAAUACCGCAUACGUCCUACGGGAGAAAGCAGGGGAUCACUUGUGACCUUGCGCUAAUAGAUGAGCCUAAGUCGGAUUAGCUAGUUGGUGGGGUAAAGGCCUACCAAGGCGACGAUCUGUAGCGGGUCUGAGAGGAUGAGCCGCCACGCUGGGACUGAGACACGGCCCAGACUCCUACGGGAGGCAGCAGUGGGGAAUAUUGGACAAUGGGGGGAACCCUGAUCCAGCCAUGCCGAGUGUGUGAAGAAGGCCUUAUGGUUGUAAAGCACUUUAAGCGAGGAGGAGGCUACUUUAGUUAAUACCUAGAGAUAGUGGACGUUACUCGCAGAAUAAGCACCGGCUAACUCUGUGCCAGCCGCCGCGGUAA
rnacentral:rRNA from 1 species